CCACUACACACACCACUUAACGACCUAUCGUCAGUAUAGCUACUCCGUAAAAUCAUCGUCUUGCGCUACAUACCCGUCAGCUACGUAAGCCCAUCACCAUGCUUUCAAAGAUGGCACAUUAUCACAUCAUCCCACCCUAAGCUUAAAAACGAAGAACGUUGUUUCUUCUUUCCCAGCUACGCCUUUUUUGCUGCGAAGGCCUUAUCUUUUAGGAUGGAAUCCUCUUAAACGCAAAGCAUCAUCGUCUGUGACGGCUGUCACGUAGAGUAAAAGAGACAGGAAUUUUCUGCAUCAGCCAGGGCAGGUCGUCGCAAGAAGACUAGAGAAAUGCAUGAGGUUGCAAGUUGCCGGAGUUGUUGAAGUUGCUAAGUCAAACUUUCAGGGAGCUAACCUAAGUAGUGGUUACUUUGGCCCCGAAAGGACAUUUUUUAACGUCAUUAAUGGAAGUUAGA
rnacentral:sRNA from 1 species